AUAAAAGAAAGUAAAUAAGGGCGCAUGGCGGAUGCCUUGGCUCUCGGAGGCGAUGAAGGACGUGAUAAGCUGCGAUAAGCUUCGGGUAGGUGCAAAUGACCUUUGAUCCGAAGAUUUCCGAAUGGGACAACCCGGCAUUCUGAAGGAAUGUCAUCCAACUAAGUUGGAGGCUAACGCAGGGAACUGAAACAUCUUAGUACCUGCAGGAAAAGAAAAUAAAUAAUGAUUCCCCUAGUAGUGGCGAGCGAACGGGGAUUAGCCCAAACCACCCAUGUUACGGCAUGUGUGGGGUUGUAGGACCACGCUCUCGCAAGACAGUUAUUGAGAAGAAACGACUGGAAAGUCGUGCCAUAGACGGUGAUAGCCCGGUAUUCUAAGGUAACCGAAGCGUAGUGGUAUCCUGAGUAGCGCGGAGCACGAGGAAUUCUGCGUGAAUCAGCCGGGACCAUCCGGUAAGGCUAAAUACUCCCGAGAGACCGAUAGCGAACCAGUACUGUGAAGGAAAGGUGAAAAGCACUUCGAAUAGAAGAGUGAAAUAGUCCCUGAAACCAUGCGCCUACAAGCGGUCGGAGCAGCUUCAGCUGUGACGGCGUGCCUUUUGCAUAAUGAACCUACGAGUUACUUUUUCCGGCAAGGUUAAGCAUCUUGAGAUGCGGAUCCGAAGCGAAAGCGAGUCUGAACAGGGCGGAUAGUCGGAAGGAGUAGACGCGAAACCAAGUGAUCUACCCUUGGGCAGGUUGAAGGUUAGGUAACACUAACUGGAGGACCGAACCGAUAAGCGUUGAAAAGCUUCCGGAUGACCUGAGGGUGGGGGUGAAAGGCUAAUCAAACUUGGAGAUAGCUCGUACUCCCCGAAAUGCAUUUAGGUGCAGCCUUGAGAGUUACUAAUGUGAGGUAGAGCGACUGAUAAGAUGCGAGGGCUUCACCGCCUAUCAAGUCUUGAUAAACUCCGAAUGCGCAUUAGUUCUAUCUCAGGAGUGAGGGCAUGGGUGCUAAGGUCCAUGUCCUAAAGGAGAAGAAUCCAGACCAUCAGCUAAGGUCCCCAAAUAAACACUAAGUUGAACUAACGAAGUCAGAUUGCUAAGACAGCUAGGAUGUUGGCUUGGAAGCAGCCAUUCAUUUAAAGAGUGCGUAACAGCUCACUAGUCGAGGAGUUUGGCGUGGAUAAUAAUCGGGCAUAAGUGUUUUACCGAAGCUAUGGGAUCCUAAUGGAUCGGUAGGGGAGCAUUCCACUCUGCGUUGAAGGCGAAGCGUGAGCUUUACUGGAGCGUGUGGAAAAGCAAAUGUAGGUAUAAGUAACGAUAAAGGGGGUGAGAAACCCCCUCGCCGCAAGACUAAGGUUUCCUGAUCAACGCUAAUCGGAUCAGGGUUAGUCGGGUCCUAAGGCUCAGCCGAACGGUGAGGCCGAUGGCAGAACAGGUUAAUAUUCCUGUACUACCUGUAAGAGUGAUGUGGAGACGGAGGAGUGACAACGCCGCGGACUGACGGAAUAGUCCGUUAAAGGGUGUAGAUGUUGAUUAUCCCAGGCAAAUCCGGGAUAAGAGUCGAACCUGACAGUAUACCAAUUUCCCCGGAAAANNNNNNNNNNNNNNNNNNNNNNNNNNNNNNNNNNNNNNNNNNNNNNNNNNNNNNNNNNNNNNNNNNNNNNNNNNNNNNNNNNNNNNNNNNCCCGGAAAACGGUAAUAGUGCGUGUAAACAUACUCCCAAGAAAAUCCGCUAAACUUAAUCUUACAGGUACCCGUACCGUAAACGGACACACGUAGUCGGGUUGAAUAUACUCAGGCGCUUGAGUGAAUCACGGUUAAGGAACUAGGCAAAUUGACCCUGUAACUUCGGGAUAAAGGGUCCCUACCCGGUGACGGGAGGGCGCAGAGAAUAGGUCCAGGCAACUGUUUAACAAAAACACAGGGCUGUGCAAAAUUGAAAGAUCACGUAUACAGCCUGACACCUGCCCGGUGCUGGAAGGUUAAGAGGAGAUGUCAUCGCAAGAGAAGCAUUGAAUUGAAGCCCCAGUAAACGGCGGCCGUAACUAUAACGGUCCUAAGGUAGCGAAAUUCCUUGUCGGGUAAGUUCCGACCUGCACGAAUGGUGUAAUGAUCUGGACACUGUCUCAACCGUGAGCUCAGUGAAAUUGUAGUAUCGGUGAAGAUGCCGAUUACCCGCGAUGGGACGAAAAGACCCCGUGAACCUUUACUAUAGCUUAACAUUGAAUUUGGGUAAUUGAUGUGUAGGAUAGGCCGGAGACUUUGAAGCAGGCACGCCAGUGUUUGUGGAGUCGCUGUUGAAAUACGGCCCUUUGGUUAUUUGAGUUCUAACUCGCUGGUGCGAGGACACUGUUUGGUGGGUAGUUUGACUGGGGUGGUCGCCUCCAAAAGCGUAACGGAGGCUUCUAAAGGUGCCCUCACGCCGAUUGGUAACCGGCGGUAGAGUGUAAUGGCAUAAGGGCGCUUGACUGGGAGACUUACAAGUCGAUCAGGUAGGAAACUAGAGCAUAGUGAUCCGGUGUUUCCGUAUGGAAGGGACAUCGCUCAAAGGAUAAAAGGUACUCCGGGGAUAACAGGCUGAUCCCUCCCAAGAGCUCAUAUCGACGGAGGGGUUUGGCACCUCGAUGUCGGCUCGUCACAUCCUGGGGCUGGAGAAGGUCCCAAGGGUUGGGCUGUUCGCCCAUUAAAGUGGCACGCGAGCUGGGUUCAGAACGUCGUGAGACAGUUCGGUCUCUAUCUAUCGUGGGCGUAUGAAAUUUGCGUGGCUCUGACACUAGUACGAGAGGACCGUGUUGGACUGACCUCUGGUUUACCGGUUGUGCCGCCAGGUGCAUUGCCGGGUAUCUAAGUCGGGAUUGGAUAAGUGCUGAAAGCAUCUAAGUACGAAGCCAGCCACAAGAUUAGAUUUCUUU
rnacentral:rRNA from 1 species